rnacentral:rRNA from 1 species
AUAGCGUAUAUUAAAGUUGUUGCAGUUAAAAAGCUCGUAGUUGAACUUCAGACCUGGCUGGAUGGUCUGCCUAACGGUAUGUACUGUCCGGCUGGGCCUUACCUCUUGGUGAGCUGGCGUGCCCUUUACUGGUGUGCGUCGGGGAACCAGGACUUUUACCUUGAGAAAAUUAGAGUGUUCAAAGCAGGCCUAUGCCCGAAUACAUUAGCAUGGAAUAAUAAAAUAGGACGUGCGGUUCUAUUUUGUUGGUUUCUAGAGUCGCCGUAAUGAUUAAUAGGGAUAGUUGGGGGCAUUGGUAUUGAGUCGCUAGAGGUGAAAUUCUUGGAUUGACUCAAGACCAACUACUG